AAACGGCCGCUACUUAUUUAAAUCCCUAGUUGGCCCAGAUAUUUUCUCAUGAACUCGAAACUCCUAAGCAUCGCGCUUUCUCUCUCUCUCUCUCCAUCUGAUUCGCCAUUCGUAUGAGAAUUCUCGGAACCAGAUCUCGCAUUCUUCUUCAUGCCUUAUUUCAUCGUCAAGCUUUACAGAGAGUCUGCGAUCUUCUCCGUGAAGCUCGCUUCCGUACUGCAUUAUCGGUUUCUUUCGCAACUCACAGAUUCUGCGUUUCGUCCGAAUCACGUUAGCGGAAGUAUCGCCGAUUGUUUUUCAUCCAGUUCGAACAACAGCAAAUUCUUCAGGUUGUAAUUGCGUUUGGUUGCUGAGAAGCUGCGGGAAAAUACAGGAUUUGUGAUGGUUUUUUAUUCUGAUGUGCUGAAAACAUUAGACUUGAUGGAAAAAAAACCCUACGAAAAGUUUAAUCCUAUGUUACAAAAGAAAUACAGAUCUAUUUCCUGUGAGCAAUAUACACGGCUGUCACAGCAGCAACUAAAGCAAAACUGGUACGGUGAAGGCUAUAUUAUGAGGCUUUAUAUCUUGUACUGAAUGAUUUCCACAUCAUCUCCAAUUGUGUAUUGAACAAUUUGUAUAAGCACAUUAGUUUCUCUUUUGGAUAUUCCAUUCUCUUCUACACAUCUCAUCUUACUAUAAAACUUCCGUCCUGUUUUUGAUCCAUUUGUUUGUUGUUUCUUUUCUCUUUUAAGUUUCCAUUACUUCGGUGUUGCACAUUUUGCUAUCAUUUUAAUAUUGUUUUAACCUUCUGUCAAUAGGGUAUGAUUCCAUCUGAACUCCUUACUCUGUGUUCUUAUGCCUCUGCAUAUUCAUUGAUGCUAUCAUUUUAAAUUCCCUUGAAAUUUGCAUUUUAAAUGUGUAUUUGGCUUUUUCCCUCCAUUUGAAUCUGGUCAGUUAGAUUAGCAUUUGAAAACAAUUCCCGUAAUGGUCAGAUAUUGAUAAUAUUGUAGAUAUAGAAGUGAGUGUAAGAGAUAGGCAUUUUUCAACAAUUUUGAUCUCUCUUUGAUACCAAAUAAAAUAUAGGGAAUUUUGUGAAAAUGAAGGGUAAAAAAAUGUCAUUUUGGGAUUCCUUGUCUGUAAUCUCCGAGAGACUGAUUGAAAUGUCUAUUCGUUUAUGCUUCAUGACACAUUUGUCGCUUUGGUGAUUCAUGUCAAAAAACACAAGAAAACGGCAAUGGGUUCUGAGUUCGUUCUUGUCAAUUGAGUAUUUUUCUGAUAUUAUUUAAUUAAUUUGGUGUUAACUUAUUGUAUGAAAUUUCAUAGUCUGUGUUCAUCAAUUUUUGUCUCAUGUAUUGCUAAUAACUCUGGCAGUCUUUACCCAUUUGAAGAGCAGAGUUUUAAAUAUUUAGUUUCCAAGGCAGUAAACAAAGUAAAAAAGAAUUGCACAUAUAUGUUUUGUAUGUAGAAUUUCUUACCUUAUUAAAUGUUGACUUUACAUAAGAUGUUGCUCUUCUUGUUUCUCACUCACACAUGCAAUAGUGCUUUAGUUGAUAGAAAAACAAACAUUGAUUGUCUAGUAGCCUAUAUGACAUGUCAUUUAUAGAGAAAACAUAAAAUUCAAAGCUGAGAUCAUCUUCUUGAUUGCUAUCAAGAAACAUUCAUCUUUUGUAGAUGCAUCAGUGUAGCUACAAUCUGCUGCAGCAAUCAAAAUGAAUCUCAUCAAGAUUUCUUCUAGUUUGUAAUGGUUCAAUAAUUGACUAGCUAAAUAAGAUCAUACCCCAACUUUGUGGCUCCUGAAGUGGCCUCAUAGUUCUGUUGCUGUGGUUGGCUUAGCUGGAGAUUCACAGGAACCUGCAAAUCUUCCUCUAUGCUUAUACCAUUUGUUAGAACAGAGUUUCUGUCUGUUCCACUCCCAUUUCUUGUUCCAUAGACCUGGGUUAAUGAAACUCCCUUUUUAAGGUUUAGAAUAAAAACUCUUUAUGUGGUUGCAUUUGUUUUAAGAAAUGGAUUUUUUUAAUAUUUGAUAUUAUUUUAGUUUGUCUUCCUAUCCAAAUCAGUACCUUCUUCUUCAGUUCCAUGUUUUCUUGACGAAUUAGGUUUACCUUCUUAUACAGUUCCAUAUUUUCUUGGUGUAUGAGGUUCCCCUGCAGAAAGUAAAAGAAUAAACAUUUAAUGAAUGAAAGAUAGUAAAGUCAAUAUUUUUCUGUGUAGACUAACCUUUUGAUUCAGUUCCUGUAUUUCCUCCAUUAAAAGUUGUUCCUGCAUAAGUCAAUUUUGUGUAAGAUACAUAUAUCGAAUUUUAAAAGAUGGAUAAUUGCAAUUUUUGGGGUGAAUUCACACCUUUUUUGCACGGACACCAUGGAGGCUAACUUCCAGUUGGUUCUCUAAACUAUGUAAAUCUUUGACAGUCAUACCUGACAGUUCUUCUCCCAUCAUUUGCCUGUUAGAUCAUAAAUCCCAAAAAGAGUUUGGUAUUGCAUCUUGUACACUUGGAUUGAGAGUUCAUCACCAAUGCUAUUUGGCAAUGAGCAGAUUAUCCCGCAAUAACAUGUUCUUACUAGAGAGAGAAAACAUCCUGGCAUAGCAUUUGACUAUUUAAACAUUUCUUCUAGAUCCAUGUUUUUAACAGUAGAGAGAAAGGGUCUGGUAUGGAGGUAAACAUCAUAUCUUGAGUGUUCUUUCUUUUUAACAAUAAGAAGUCUGUAAACCCUUCAAAUUAAUUUUUAUCACUCAACCAUAGUCUUUAACAUCACCCCUUUCACAGUUGUGUUCACAUUUACAAAUAACUUUGUUAAAAAAAAAAUGCGUGUCACUGUCGUCAACAAGCUUUAACACCAGGUAAAUCAUACAAGCUUACAACUGCUUUAUAGAAGAAGCCCACUUUCUAAUUCGUUUUCCCUCAAAGGCACUAGAUUGGGAUAUAGAGAGGGUACACAAAUUGAAAGAUUAGAAAAACUAUAGGAUUUUUAUUUCAAGAUAUUUUUUCUUUUUGGUGACAAAAACUAUUUUGUUAGAAUAAUCAUUAGGGAAUAAGUUUCGUUUUUUAUGUCUCAAAAUUAUUGGUAGACAUUAGUUUUUCUUUAAAAUAUCAAAUUCUAAUGGUUUAAUAAGAUUUUAUUCUCACUAUAGAGGUUGAGGAUAACAUAUUUCUAUGACAAAGGAAUAAGAACUAUUAAGUAAAGAUAUUAAUAUGUCUCUUACUUUAAUGUAUUAAUAAUAAGUAAUAAUAUGUAUUUAGAAGUAUGUUAAGAAUUAUCAUGUGAUCCUAGAAUAUGCCAUAAAUCAAAUGCAUUUAUAAUUUUUUCCUAGGAAAAUGGCAUAAACAAUUACAGGAAUUUUUACUGUAAAAGAUUCAAAUUUUUUACAAUACAUAGGAGUAACAUGUUUUAAGUAUAAUAAUAUUUCUUCGAAUAUAGUUCUAGGGAAACCUUGAAACAGAAGUUCUAGUAGGGAGGCAAGUAUAUCCCCUAGUCUAACUUAAUCUUUUGUCAAGUUAUGAUUUAGUUGGGUUUGAGUUCAAAGAAAUGAUGCUGUGAGAAGAUUGGGCAGAUUUAAGUAUCACUCCGCACUCCUUUGCCUUGAAAUAGCUAUGGAGAAGUCGUAAAUAUAAUCGUCUACCAAAAACACGUCCAAUGUAAAAAAGAAAUGCAUUUUUCUGCUGAUGCCACAGCAUUUUACACUCCUUGUUUGUGAGAAGGCCUUUGUAAUUUUGAAAGGGUUGCAGACAACAUCGUAAAAGAAACCUUUUAUCCUAUCAAUCGGGUUUUACAUGGACAUUUAUGAACUUAUAUUUAAAAUAAAUAUAUGUUGCACAGAAAAGAAUGUACCGGUGACUUUCUUGCAAGUUCUGCAAUUGUUGCCUUAACAUGGCUGCCUCCCUUUGCCAAAACUAGAAAAUACGAAUAAAAAGUCUUAGAUUUUAAAGGAGAAAGAAUCACUAGAUACACGUGCUUAUGCCAUGGUGUACCCUUUCAUUAACUAAAUAUAUGUGAUGCAAAUGGUCAGGUGUUUUGAUUAAAAUCUGCAUAAAUAAAAACAAUAAUAAAAAAAGAUGAAAAAAAGAUUAAUUAUCUGAUGUGGAAACUUCACAAUGAUAUAGUAAUUGUCAUAUGAUUGGCUUAUUUGAUUGAAAAUGUAUAUUAUUGAGAUGAGAUUGUGAUUGUGAUUAAUUGUUCUUUAGUGAAAAUGAGGUGCCUCUGGGUGUAAGGUGGUGGUUGUUUGGCCUUGAUUUUGGACAGUGAUAAUCUUUAGACAUGCAACUUUUGUCAGAUAGAACUAGCCACUUGAAUGUAUCUAUUUGAUGUGAAACUGAUGAAUUUGACACUUGAUAGCCAGUGACUACUGUGACUAACAACUUUUAACUAACUCAGUCAUUGUAAAGACUGAACCCCCUGUGUAGCAUGCUAGACAAGCUGCCCUCUCCCCUAUACUUCCUCUUGUAGACUCUUUCCUGAUCAUAAUCACAAAUAUCUCAUUUUGAUUCAUUCUCUCUAAUCUUAAUAUUCUCUGAAAUCUUUAUAUUCCUGUUUUUGUUACUUGAACAAUCGUCUUUUCUUCCUUUUGCAUAUUUUUCUUCAACAUAGUGUCAAAGUGGUAACAUCAACUAAGACCUAAUCAUAUAACUAUUUUUCUGAGUUCCUAAAAGAUGGAUCAUCUUUCUUUGUAGCCUCCUGUUUUCACAUUUCUGUGAUUUCUGUUUAUAUCUACGUCUUGCAUUUUCCUGCUUGCAAUCAUAUUUAACUCUUUUCCAGCCCAAUUUCCCUUUUAGAUUGAUUGAAAGACCGGUUAGCUUUGUUUCAUGAUAUUUAUUAUACCUGGUGGGUUUUCUUAUCCUUUUUAAUUCCCCGUCUAAUGAAUUUAAUAAAAAAAAAAAACAGUUUCCAACUAACUUGCCAUUCCUCUGAUUUCUUAUCAAAAUUUUUAGCUUGGUUCGAAGUUGGAACUCAUGCUUAGCUCACAUAAUCUCUUGUUGUCACUUUCUUUCAAAACAAGCAUUGAUUACCUAGAUUUUGAAAAAAUAAUUGAGGGAAAGGCAACCUGAACUAUACAUACCAAUGUUCAAGCUGCUAGUUGCCAUGUCUUAGGACACCUUCACCAAAGAAUGUUUUUCUAGCCAAGCUAACUGCCUUUGGCUUGUUUUUGAUAGUUUGGCUAAUUUAUCCUUCCUUGGGUUCCCUUCAUCUGUUGUUCCCUCUCUUAGCAUUGGUCAUCACCUGAUCUGUUCCAACUUUUUCGCAUUCUAUUUGUCUGAAGUGUCCCUGUACACUCUGUUUGGACUUGUAUUUUGGCAUGGAAUACUGUAUCUUUGGUGCUAUUUGGAUCUGCUUCCCUUUGAAUGGCUGUUUGUCUGUUAGGAUGUUCUAUUAGGUUUUAAGUCAUUGUUCUAAUGAUUUGAUUUGUUUAAGGAGUGCUUAAUUGUAAUGAGCUGAGGAAUGAAGUAUGCUUCCACUUAAGAUUCAACAAAGGAUUUGACGCCUCUUAAAGUAUGAGGUGCGUUUAAGGAGGUAACCACAAUCUCAACUGCAGGUGUCGAACAUGUGUAUUCUAUUGUGUUGAUGUUCAAAUAAAACUAUUAAUUAAUUAAUUAAUUAUCUUAUUAAUGAAGAUUGUGCACUUUAUCUUGAAAGGUAAUAUAUCUCAUGCAUUUUAGGAGCCAAAUCAGCCGACCCCACCUAGUGGAACAAAGAAUGCUUUGUUGUUGUUGUAUUUUAGGAGCCAAAUCCUUCAAGAACACAAGUAAUAUGGAUAUAGUGGUGAAUGAUAAGAUUGGAGUUAGUGCUCUCUGUAUAAAUUCGACCCCUUCAUCACUUUUGAUUGCUUUGUACAAAGUCGUUAAAGUACUUUCUGUGUCGUUAUGGAUCGUGAAAUAAUUCACAGGACAUCUAGCCAACUUUAAUCCAUUUGAAAUUCUGUGGCAAUUGUUUACUGUUGAGCUUCAUAAUUAGGUUAGUUGGAAUAUGUAGAAUUCGGAACGCAAUGGUCCUCAGUUAUUCUAUUUUUGUUUAUGACCUUUACUGUUGGUUUUGGUUGUUGGGAAAUGUUUCCCUGAGGUCCUUAACAAUGAUGAUUUCAUGACAGUUAUUUGCAGUGAGAAGGAGAUUAUUUGGUCUGUAAGAUGCACAUUGUUUUGGUUAUCUAAGAUCUAGUGAGAGAGCAGAGGUUUGUUUGUUUUGUCUGGGCUUUUUCAUGUUUUCAGUAGUUAGUAGGAACGGUAUGGUCAAAGAUUUGCUUAUUCUAGGAUAACAAGCUAGUUAGAAAUCCUUUAUUUUAUCAGCCUAAUCGCUCUUUUGAAAGAACUCAUCUUGGGGUGGGUUUACUACUUAGAUGCUUUCAGCAGUUAUCCGCUCCGCACUUGGCUAUUUUCUUACGAAGUUUUGUUAUAGCAUCUAUAAUGGCCUCUGGUUUAGGUGGACAGCCUGGCAAAUAGACAUCCACGGGAAUUAGCUUAUCAAGAAAAAGUAAAAUAUUAUUUUCUUUCAUCGAAGGACAUCAAUUACUAAGAUUCGAAGCAAUUAGUAUUAUUUUCCAAGGCAAAAGAGCCCCCAACCACGGAUGAUUUCAUUACCCUCACUAGCAAGAUUACGACCCUCAUUCCGAGCCUGUACAAAUGCUUGCAUGAAGGAGUCAGUCUUCUAUUCUUUUCCUUGGCGCAGCUGGGCCCCUGCUACGACAUUUGCACAUUUGGAUGCUACGACUGUAAUAUCUAGAGGAUUGGCUGCCAAAGGUAUCUAUCCAGCUGUCCAUUGACUACGCCUUUCGGCCUGAUCUUAGGCCCUGACUCACCCUCCGUAGACGAACCUUGCGGAGGAACCCUUAGGUUUUCGAGGCAUUAGAUUCUCACCAACGUUUGCGUUACUCAAUCUUUACUUAUCUUCAAGUCUUGGUUUGUUGAAUAGUGCCCUUAUGCAUGCAGAGAGAUGCACAGCCCUUGAUUUAUUUGAGGAUCAUCUGGCCUAGCGAUGGUUAGGUAUUCCUGAGGGUUUUGAGUUUGUUGACCUUAAGUGUGCAGGGAUUCCUACUUCCUCUGGAUAUACUUACUUUGCUUACAAUAAAGGUGAGUUCUUUUCCCUAUCAAAACUAUAUUAAUAUGCUAUUGAUGUUUUUCACCUACAGUUGGUUAUUGUGUAUGGGAAGAUACCAUUCAUUUUGGUUUGUCAAUUUAUCAAAUCCAUGAUUGUGAGUUCCUAGAAUCCAUAUUCAGACUUUGCAUUACUAGACAAUGGAAGGAAACAAAUUAAUUCAUUUCAGGAACAACUUUUGAAGUUCCUCAAGGUUGAUUCUUACCAGCUAGUGGAUGGCUGAGCCAAACCAUGCUUCGUUUAAGAUGCCUGAAUAGCUCUUGCUUUCUAGAAAGCCUAAUUUCAGAGUCAAAUCAUUCAUAAUAGGAAUACGAUGGUUAAUGUAUGCAAAAUAACUUACUCAUCAAUAGAUUUGAGUAUGUUGAAUCAGCUAUGAUGCUUUGUUCCACAGGAUAUAGAGCUUGGUGAUUCUAGUCUCGAGUUCCUUGACUAUGCUUCCCCAAUCGUAUUUUGAAUUACCCAACUCUGAGAUCCCUUGUACCUAUAUAUCAAGAUAAACGAACUAAUUUUUAAUGGAAUUAAUUUUGGAACUUGUGCAUCACCAACGUAGCUUUGGUAUUUCAGAUGACUUUUGCUAUGCAUGUAUUUUCCACCUUCUGCUAACAAAAAUAUGAUUUCUAGAUCAGGCCAUUGCUUGUAAUGAUUUGAAUUGCGGCCUGCUCCUAAAGAAGAACAACUCAUCUGGUUACUGAUGUGGUGCUCAGGCAGCAUCUACCAAUAGGAUUUGAAGCAUAACUGCUGAACAUGUCUUUAGUCCUGGUGAACUCAUUAUUUUCAGUUGAUUGGAAGGACUGAAUGAUGUAGAGACAGUCAUCAAAGAAAAAGUCCAAAGGAACACUGCCAUUUUUGUGACAGUAGUUCUUAAAUGUGCCUUUUUCUGUUGGGGAUUAUUGUUUCCUGAAAAAAUUGGGGAAAUCAUUAAUAUUCUUUUCUUUGUCUUUUGAAUCUAUUUCUUACAUCUGAUGCAUUCUUUUUUUAUGUUUCUGGCAGAUCAUACCCUUUGGGUUGCAGGAUGGGUUGUGCCCUUGUUAUGGUACAAUACUAAAAGAGAUUCUCAUUUAGGUACACAAACAUGGCAGCAAUAUUCUGAAAGGCCCUGUUGAGUUCCUUCCAGUUGUCUCAUUUACGAGAUAUUACUGUUCAAUUUUUAGGUGUUCAAUUGAUUGGGAUACUUUGUUGCAUUCUAUGUAUAUGAGAGAUUCUCCUAGCACUGCCAUGGGAGUUUCUCUGCCAUAGUACUAGUUAGUGUGGCAAAUGGCAAUGCAACAUCACAUUGCCAUAGCUGCCAGGUAUUUGACAUAUAACUUGCACGAUAUUGAAAAUGGUGAGCUAACAAGAGCCUCUCUUGUUUCCCCAUAUUCUUUCUUUUUAGGUUCAGCAUAAACCCAAAAGAACGCAAUUGAAAAAAGGUCUGCAGUGGCUCUCUUUUACUUUGGUUUCUUAGCAUUUUUCUCUCCUUUGUAAAUAGUGGGGUUUCAGCUCUUAAACCUUCAAGACUAUACUGAAACUAUCACGAAGUUAACCAGACCUGCACCAUUAUGAGAUAUAUAUAUAUAUUAUUUUAAUUUUUCUGCUGAAAAUUCAGAAAAUAGCCUUCACUCUUUGUAGUACCCAAGUGGUAAAAUAGGAGGGAAUGGAAGCAGUUAAGUCAGUUAGAGAGGCAAGUGGUAAAAUAGCUCCUUCACUUUUUAUUUACAGUGGAAGAGUGAAAGAAAAGUUGAAAAUGGAAAUACAGUGGGACCAACUAUUUCAACAAAUAGGGAGCUGGAAAGGUUAGUGGAGAAGACGUGAUAGAGGAAUGAAUUCUGUUAUAGGAGAGAUGAUCAAGAGUAAAAUAGGAGGAAUCAAGGGAUUCAAAGGGGAAUUUUAGACUGGGCAGGACCUUAGGAUGGUGGUAGCCUCUUGAAUGCUACCUUGUUCUCUACUUUCCAUAAUUGGUUCUUCAAUCAAUUCGUCAGAGACUGAGAGAGUAUCACUUUGAUAUCCUCCAGAUUCUGUGUUUCUCAUUCGUUUCUACUCUGUUUCUACUCUCCCUUCUAUAAUUCUGCUCUCAUAUUCUUAAUCUGACUCUGUCUCCCGGUAUUCUGUUGUUUAAUUUGUUCUUAGUUCUUGAACAGUGUUGCAUUUUUAAAUAUCCAGGAAAAUUAUAAAUAAGAAAAUGAAAAAAUAUAUAAAUAUAAAACAAUAUGAUAUUUCUCUUUUCUAACUAAGGUUUUAAUAUUUUAUAUUUAUAUGAUUAUAAUUCCUUAAGCAUACUUGUAAGAUAUAUCUUGAUAGUGAACUUGAUUGCUGGCGGUGCAAGAUAUAUAUUUAAAUACCUUAAUCUCAGAGGUUGAACUUCCAAGGGGGUUAUGCUCCUCUUUUGUUUUGUUGUAUCGAUCAAUCACUGAUUUCAUGCUGACAAAGUCAUCCAAAUUCAAAUUCUAUCAAUUUUGUGUUUCUGGUGACAAAUGUUCAAUAAAAGAAAAUAACAAAUUAUGCAGAGGUGAAUGCUGGAACACAAUAAUCUUAUAUCAGCAACUGCUGCCGCAGAAUAUAAAUUAGACGCCAGAUUUGGCAUGGAUAUGUUAACUGAAGUAAUUUUGUUGCAAACUUCCAACACUUAUGCAUGCCAGGUUUUACUAAUGUUGCUUGCAAUAUAUUUAAUGAGUAAAAGCUGACAACUGAUUGGUUAUGGUAUUCAGCAGGAUUGGGACAGGGAGGGAUUGAAACAGCUAAUUGCUUAAGACACCAAGAACCAGCAUCACAAAUAGCCGUUACUUGAAAGUCAAUGUUUGAGAUGUGAGCAAAGUCAGCCACUUUGUGCAAGUCACCAUCUAGCCAUCUAGAGUAGAAGAAGGAAUUCCUUAACACAAUGAUGUCGAGAGAAGCUAUCCUGUAAGACUGUAAAUUUUACCAGUGUGUUGAAAUGCUACUCCUAAGGACAGAGGAAUUGGCCCAGGGGUGUAGAUCCUCCUCGGGGUCCUGAACAUAUAUGUUUCGUAGAAUAUCACACCGAAGACUUCCUUCCCCUGUCAGCAAUUUCGACACCAACAUCUCCAGCAAAGCAAUGUUAAUAUUGUGAGUGUCCUUGAAACCAAGGCUGUCAACUUCAUUGAGCUAACUAACAUGGUUCGAGUUAACCAAGGUCAACCUUCGACUCCCUCUAUUACCAUUCUAAUUUCUAUAUGAAGUUGCGGGUUUGUUGGUCUAACCUGGCAUAAACCCUGCGUUGCAACCACAUAGACUACAUGGGAUACACAAGGAUGGAGAGAAAACUGAAUGGAUCAAACAAACAUGACGUGCACAAUUGCGUAAUUUUCCUUUCCAAGUGGCCAAUUUUACGUCCACAUUGUCAAUAACAAUAGAGGAGAGAUUUACCCUACUUUUGAUUAUUAUAUUGUUGCCAUCAUCUCGAUACGUAGAUAAGUUAAGGACACCGAGAUAUCCUUAGUGAAUGUCCAUGGAAGUCCAGUUGAUGCUAUCAUAAUUUUUUCUCAA